UUGUUUAGUCCGGUUACUCAUAUCCUAGACUCAACUGGAAACGGUGACACAUGGGCUGUCACCAUCUGGAUUCAGCUAUUAUCUGCUCAGAGGAACUGGAAGGGGUUGCACAAUGGCCAGACCCACCCCACCUCUGAGGCCUGGCUGCCCUGGCACCAGCUAGAAAAAUCUCUCUGCCGCCCCCCUCCCUCUCACCCCACCCUGCCCCAAACCGCUCUUAGCCCCGGUGCCCUAGAAGAAAAGAUUGCCCCCUCUUUCUCCUGGGCUUGAGAUCGCAUUUGGAAUUUCAUUCAGGCCGAACAGUAGGUGGCAGCAGCAAGCCCAGGGAGGGGAAACGCGGGUGGAGUUCAGGUGAGUUGCGGAAAACCCAAGAGCAACUUCAACUGAGGAGCGACCCCUAUCUUUUCGGGGUUGAAAAGGAGCAGCCCGGAAGCUCUUUGGGGGGGUCCGAGACGCGGGUCAGGCUCGCAAAGGCUGGGCUGUGGGAAAUGUUCUGUGUCUUUGGGCGCCGGAGGAGCACGCGGGAGGAUCCUGUUUCUAGAAGUGCUAUCUCCUCCGGAAAGAAAUCGCUCAGGUUCAGAAGAGAAUCGCUGGCCGGAAAAUAAAGACAUGAAUGGAAGCGAAGGUUCCUGGCCGAUGUGGGCUUUGCAACACUUCUGCGCCAGACAAAUCCCCCGCCCUGGCUGGAAGACCACCCCAGACCACUCUCUGGGGUCGGGAUUGGGGGGUCGGAGAUGAGGUUCUCAGCCCAAGUGAGGGUUCAAGCCGGAAUCCCCAAGACCCGAGCCUGACACGGUCCUCCCACUCCCUCAUCACCCACUGCUGAGCCCGGGUGCCUUGAAACCCCAGCAAGAGAGCCGCCAGCUGCUCCAAGCUCCAAGGAGGCACCCACUGCAAGGCGUCCUUCCAGGACAAGGGGCGGGGAGAGCGAGGAGAAUGAGAGAAGGGGAAUGGCAUGGCCCUGGAAUCCAUUUCAAUUCCACAACUUAUUUGGAACGCCGUGCGCUAAACCGGGCGCUAAGGCAAGAACGGAGAUAAAGCCACCGAACACCGCACUUCCUCUUGCCCGCAGAGUCCCCAUUACACCCCUCGGUCCGAAACUCCUCAAUCCCCCAAAGGGGGAGCCCGACCAAAGGCCGCCUACCACGCUCAAGUCACCGCAGGUGGCACCCGAGGCCGAGACCCCAAGCACCUCUGCGGGCUACCGCGUCCCCGCACCGCCCCGAGAUCCAGAUCGACUUGGAGUCUCUGGACAUCCGACAUAGGAGUCACAGACCGGGAGCUCCCAGGCCAGAUCCAGUCUGCAGCCACGUUUUGUGAGGCCACUGCAGGAGUGAGGCGUACCCUGUCUACUUCACCAUAGUCCUCCCUGCUCCUUUCUGUGGGACACCUGUCACCUCAGAACGUCAGCAGCCCGGCCCCUGGAUGUCUUUGAGUUUGCUUCUGCUGAAGUUCUCUCCUGACAGCCUCUCUUCCAUGAAACACCACGCCCCCCCAAGAUGGCAGAAAAGAGAGAAGUUCAGAGCCUGGAAACAGACGUCCCCAAUCUAGAGGGAACGGGGUGCUCUAGUUAUGAUGGCUGCCUCUCUCUUCCUGUCUGCCCAGCCCCGAAGACCACUGUCGCAGUUUUAAAAAUGUCACUGCUGGACCCCUGGGAGGCUCAGUCGUUUAAGUGCCCAACU